rnacentral:tRNA from 1 species
AGUUCUAUGGUGUAAUGGCUAGCACUCUGGACUCUGAAUCCAGCGAUCCGAGUUCAAAUCUCGGUAGGACCU